AUGAUGCUCGAGUUCAUCCUGCACAAGUCCAUGUGUGAGAACUUUGUUACCUUGUUAUAUUAUCAGGAAUUCAGUAAUAUCCGUUGGCUUUCUCUGCAUCAUAAAAGUGCAGCAAGGUCCAAAAUGAAUCCAAAGGAUUUACUUCUUGUCCGGUCUUUGACAGUCUUCGGUAAGGCACACACAUCUGUGUUGGACUUUCCCAAGUAUGAACUGAUGCGAGUUUUGGAUCUAGAAGAAUGCGAUGAACACUUGAAGGGCAAGCAUCUCAGCAACUUGUUGCUGCUCAGGUACCUAAGCCUCGGAAGCUCUCUUAAGGUUCCAGUGCUUCCAAAUGAGAUUAAGAAACUUCAAUUCUUGGAGACACUGGAUCUAAGAAGAACGAACAUAGAGAUUCUGCCUACACAAGUCAUUGAGCUGCCAUGUUUAGUUCAUCUCUUUGGAAAGUUCAAGCUCCAACAAAAUGUAGGAAGCCGGAGAAUGCGUAAGCUACAGACUUGGUUGUCAGAGAACAGUAAACUGAAAACGCUAGCCGGAUUUCUUUUGGACAAGAACCAAGAAUUGCCACAACUCAUGGAUCACAUGGAGCACCUGACGAAGGUAAAAAUAUGA
rnacentral:rRNA from 1 species